CCUACUAUGCUGGGACGAAAAAUAGAGGCCUCUAAAGUCCAAAGCUACUAAAGUGUACAACAUCAGUGAGAUGAAACAAGUCCUGAAACUUGUGUUCCCAGUUGCUGUUUAUUCACGCCUUCACAGGAUGUGAUACGACACGCAUUUUUAGUGUUGGCAAACAGACAGCAUUCCAGAAACUUGUGGUGAGUCAACCAUCCAGUCCUGUGCAAAUGUGUUUCUGCUCCCACAUCAAGCAAGGAAUGUCAUAGAGGACCAUGGGACCAAGGCAAUGGCAGUGUUGUUUGGCGGAAAGAGUACAGAUUCACUUGCCUCUUUGCGCUACAACCUUUUUAGCAAGAAAAUCGUUACCGCCAAAUCAUUUGUUGCCCCAGAACGUCUGCCUCCAACUGAGUCCGCAACCAAAUACCACUGCCAAAGAGUUUACUUCCAGAUCAUGGUGUGGAUUGGAAAGGAAGGUGACAUGAACACAGUGGAUUGGGGAUGGAAACUGGUGGACAACCGGUUCCUGCCAGUUAUGACCAGUAAGACUGCUGCCCCAGAAAGCCUCCUGCAGAUGAUCCACUGUAAUUGCACAACUGCCUGCAAAACACAACGGUGCAGUUGCAGGGCAUAUGGACUACCUUGCAUGCCUGCUUGUGGACCAUGUCAAGGUGGGGAUUGUGAGAAUCACUAUAAUCAACCUCUAUGGGAGGAAGAGUGUGACGAUAUAAAAAACAAAAGGCAAAAAAAAAUGCCUUAUAAAAAAUGUUUAAUAAAAUAUAUAAAAAAUAAAACAAAGAAAAUGAAAAGGGGUUAGCGGUACUGAGCCUUCACGUGGCAGCCCUGUUUUGACUCACUUUACAGUACCACACAGUUCUAAUGAAUUUAGUCUUUAUUGGAAUACAAAAAAUGGUUAUGAACCACAGAAACCACCAACACAAGAAAAAACAAUAUGAAAAAGGAGAAAUAUGCAAUUACUUAAGGGGAAUUUGACUUAUUUUUGGCAUGUAUAUGCUUGCACUUGUACUCACUUAUCUAUCAUGCAAAAAUACUAAUUAGAAUAUUACAUGGGCAAAACAUGUAUCAGGCACCAGUAUUCCUGGUCUAGGAGGUAAACAAAGGAGUAAUGGUCAUUUUAUGGACCUGAAGGCCGCCAUUUUGAAAAUGGGGCCUUUCUUGGAGUAAA
ensembl:lncRNA